rnacentral:lncRNA from 1 species
UCUUCCCUCCUCUUCUCCACGAUGGCUGCCAGGCCAGCGCCAUAGAGCUGGGCUGCCCGCCGGGACACAGCUCCGCACACCUCCUUCACCACAAUGCUGUCCUCACACGUGCUGUCCAGGCCAAGCUGCUGCAGGAUCCUCCUGACCUGGAGGAGGGCCAGCCGAUCGCUGCAGACAAGCAGAGCGGGAUGUCAGGACCUGCUUCGGGGGCCCCGGAACCUGCUCCACAUGGCUCACAGCCCCCCGUCCCAGAUGCCCUAGGCAGAGGGAGGAGAAAAUGAUCCAAGAAAUGGCUAAGUUAGAGCAGAAUGCCACAGAAGCUGAGACUCAAGAAAGUCUGCCGCCCCCAGGAAGUCCCAUCAUCUUUACAAAAUAAAGCGU